AACACCGGUCACCCCCACCCCAUACGAUUGCCGAAGUUAAGCAACAUCGUGUCUGGCCAAUGCUUAGGUGGGUGACCACUUGGGAAUACCAGGUGCUGUAC